AAUUUUUUUAAAAGACACAAAACUAGCCGAAAUUAUAAAAGGUUAUGAUUGCAAUCCUGGUAUCCAGUUACAUUCUCCCUCCUGCAGAAGCUGUGGAGAAUCCUGUCUCAGAAAACCAAUUUCUAUUUUGUCACAUGUCCAUCUAUGCAAAAUACAUGUACUUUGUCCCUGACAUAGGGCAACAAUGCUGAAUUUACUAAGACUCAUUUUUGCGCAUGGUUUGAUAGGGAAUUAAGAUUUACUAGGUAUUCUGUCAUUGUCCUCAUUACUGAUUAUUUUAACUGUGUCUCAAACACUUGGAUAGUACACUAUAGUGUUAUAAGCUGUUUGACAUGUCGCUUCCUAAAUUCUCAAGUUAUAUAUAUGUGUGUAUAUAUGUCAUGUAACAGGCACAACUGUUUUCAUGUGUAUCACUUUAUUGCACUUCACAGGUAUCAUAUGUUUCUUACAAAGUGGAGGUUUGUGGCAGCCCUGCAUGGAGCAAGUCUGUCAGCACCAUCUUUCUAACAGUAUGUGCUCACUUCAUGUCUCUCUCACAUUUUGGUAAUUCUUGGAAUGUUUCCGUUAUUAAAUCAGUUAUAGUGAUCUGUGAUUAGUGAUCUUUGAUAUUACUGUCAUAAUUGCUUGGGGGGCACCAUGAACCACCCCUAUAUAAGACAGCAAACUGAGUCGAUAAAUGUUUUAUGUGUUCUGACCACUGCACUGACCAGCUGCCUCCCUAUCUCUCUCAGAAGUAUGCUUUAGGAACUUAAUCCUUAUUUUUUAGCCUCUGGUAAAAUUGGUUUUGCUAUACGUUGUUUCACUUAAAAGUCCUGAUUCCCAAGAACGCACUGACAGCAGUGAGGACUUGCUGCGCAUGCGGGAGGCCAGAUUUUCUUAUCUGUGUGAAGCCAGACAUGAAAGAGAUCUGUCAACACAUAAAACAAAAUCAAAGUCUGUUUUUUGUCUGGAAAAGAUUUUUAAUAAAAAUAUAACUUAUGUUAGUGUCGUGUGUUUUUUAAGUGAAUAUUUUAAUAUGUUUAAUUUCUAUGUUAGUAAAUAGCAGUAGUAAACAACAGUGAGCAAAAGCUUUUAGGUGUCCUCAGUACAUUUUAAGAGAGUGCAAGCGUCCUGUGACCAAGAAGUUUGAGAACUGGUGCCCACCAGGUUCAUCUCACAAGUUCAGUAUUUUAAAUUCCACACAAAAGGU
rnacentral:lncRNA from 1 species